rnacentral:rRNA from 1 species
GAAUCAACGCUGGCGGCGUGCCUCAGACAUGCAAGUCGAACGAGAAAGUUCCCUUCGGGGGAUGAGUAAAGUGGCGCACGGGUGAGUAACACGUAGGUAAUCUACCUUCGGGUGGGGAAUAACCCAGGGAAACUUGGGCUAACACCGCAUAAUGCAGCGGCACCACAUGGUGACAGUUGUUAAAGCGGGGGAUUUUAGGACCUCGCGCCUGGAGAGGAGCCUGCGGCGGAUUAGCUUGNGGUAAGGUAACGGCUUACCAAGGCGACGAUCCGUAACCGGCCUGAGAGGGCGGUCGGUCACACUGACACUGACAUACGGGUCAGACUCCUACGGGAGGCAGCAGUCGGGAAUUUUGGGCAAUGGGCGAAAGCCUGACCCAGCAACGCCGCGUGAAGGAUGAAAUCCCUCGGGAUGUAAACUCGCAAGAAUAGGAAGAAUUAGUAGGGGCUAAUACCCCCUAUGAUGACGGUACUAUUUGUAAGCUCCGGCUAACUCCGUGCCA